rnacentral:rRNA from 1 species
CCCUUAGAUGUCCUGGGCCGCACGCGUGCUGCACUGAUGCAUACAGCGAGCACUUCCCGGCCCCGAAAGGCGGCUGGUAAUCAGCAAUAUGCAUCGUGAUGGGGAUAGUUCUUUGGAAUUCUUGAACUUGAACGAGGAAUGCCUAGUAGGCGCAAGUCAUUACCUUGCGUCGAUUAAGUCCCUGCCCUUUGUACACACCGCCCGUCGCUCCUACCGAUUCGAGUGAUCCGGUGAACCCUUUGGACCGAGGCAGCUUGCUGUUUUGGAAAAUCGAGUAAACCACGUCACUUAGAGGAAGGAGAAGUCGUAACA